GUGGGGAAUAUUGGACAAUGGGGGAAACCCUGAUCCAGCGACGCCGCGUGUGUGAAGAAGGCCUGCGGGUUGUAAAGCACUUUUAGUGGGGAUGAAAUGUGCAGGGCUAAUACCUCUGCAUUUUGACCUAACCCACAGAAAAAGCACCGGCUAACUCUGUGCCAGCAGCCGCGGUAAUACAGAGGGUGCAAGCGUUAAUCGGAAUUACUGGGCGUAAAGCGUGCGUAGACGGUUACAUAAGUCGGGUGUGAAAGCCCCGGGCUCAACCUGGGAAGUGCAUUCGAGACUGCGUAGCUAGGGUGCGGAAGAGGGAAGCGGAAUUUCCGGUGUAGCGGUGAAAUGCGUAGAUAUCGGAAGGAACACCAGUGGCGAAAGCGGCUUCCUGGUCCAGCACCGACGUUCAGGCACGAAAGCGUGGGGAGCAAACAGGAUUAGAUACCCUGGUAGUCC
rnacentral:rRNA from 1 species